UGUGCACCGGUGGGGUCCCUUGGCCAGGCUUGCGCCCUCUCGCAAUCUGGGACCCCUCGGGGGAUGUCGGAGAGCUGGUUUUGGCCUAAUCCCGCAGGCCAGGCCGAGGGACCCCACUGGUGCACA
rfam:Myotis brandtii contig242303, whole genome shotgun sequence.